rnacentral:rRNA from 1 species
AGAGUUUGAUCCUGGCUCAGGAUGAACGCUGGCGGCGUGCUUAACACAUGCUAGUCAAACGGGAAAUAUUUCAUUGAGACUUCGGGGGAUUUGAACUAUUUCUAGAGGCGGAUGGGUGAGUAACGCGUGGGUAACCCGCCCCAUACAGGGGGAUAACAGUUGGAAACGACUGCUAAUACCGCAUAAGCGCACAGGGUCGCAUGGCCUGGUGUGAAAAACUCCGGUGGUAUGAGAUGAACCCGCGUCUGAUUAGCCAGUUGGUGGGGUAACGGCCUACCAAAGCGACGAUCAGUAGCCGACCUGAGAGGGUGACCGGCCACAUUGGGACUGAGACACGGCCCAAACUCCUACGGGAGGCAGCAGUGGGGAAUAUUGCACAAUGGGGGGAACCCUGAUGCAGCGACGCCGCGUGAGCGAAGAAGUAUUUCGGUAUGUAAAGCUCUAUCAGCAGGGAAGAAGAAAUGACGGUACCUGACUAAGAAGCACCGGCUAAAUACGUGCCAGCAGCCGCGGUAAUACGUAUGGUGCAAGCGUUAUCCGGAUUUACUGGGUGUAAAGGGAGCGCAGGCGGUACGGCAAGUCUGAUGUGAAAGCCCGGGGCUCAACCCCGGUACUGCAUUGGAAACUGUCGGACUAGAGUGUCGGAGGGGUAAGUGGAAUUCCUAGUGUAGCGGUGAAAUGCGUAGAUAUUAGGAGGAACACCAGUGGCGAAGGCGGCUUACUGGACGAUUACUGACGCUGAGGCUCGAAAGCGUGGGGAGCAAACAGAAAGGGAUACCCUGGUAGUCCACGCCGUAAACGAUGAAUACAAGGUGUCGGGGAGCAUUCCUGCUUUCGGUGCCUCGCAAACGCAAUAAGAAUUCCUUAAGGGGAGUACGUUUGCAAGAAAUGAAAUCAAAAGGAAUUAACGGGGACCCUCACAAACGGUGGAGCAUGUGAUUUAAUUGGAAGCAACGUGAAGAACCUUACCAAGUCUUAACAUCUAGAUGUCAGAAUAUGUAAUAUGUUUUCUCUUAGGAGCAUCGGUGACAGGUGGUGCACGGUUGUCGUCAGCUCGUGUCGUGAGAUGUUGGGUUAAGUCCCGCAACGAGCGCAACCCCAUAUUCUUAGUAGCCAGCGGUUCGGCCGGGCACUGUAAGGAGACUGCCAGGGAUAACAUGGAGGAAGGUGGGGAUGACGUCAAAUCAUCAUGCCCCUUAUGACCAGGGCUACACACGUGCUACAAUGGCGUAAACAGAGGGAAGCAGCCUCGUGAGAGUGAGCAAAUCCCAAAAAUAACGUCUCAGUUCGGAUUGUAGUCUGCAACUCGACUACAUGAAGCUGGAAUCGCUAGUAAUCGCGAAUCAGAAUGUCGCGGUGAAUACGUUCCCGGGUCGUGCACUCACCGCCC